GAUGAACGCUGGCGGCGUGCCUAAUACAUGCAAGUCGAGCGAACGGACGAGAAGCUUGCUUCUCUGAUGUUAGCGGCGGACGGGUGAGUAACACGUGGAUAACCUACCUAUAAGACUGGGAUAACUUCGGGAAACCGUAGCUAAUACCGGAUAAUAUUUUGAACCGCAUGGUUCAAAAGUGAAAGACGGUCUUGCUGUCACUUAUAGAUGGAUCCGCGCUGCAUUAGCUAGUUGGUAAGGUAACGGCUUACCAAGGCAACGAUGCAUAGCCGACCUGAGAGGGUGAUCAGCCACACUGGAACUGAGACACGGUCCAGACUCCUACGGGAGGCAGCAGUAGGGAAUCUUGCGCAAUGGGCGAAAGCCUGACGGAGCAACGCCGCGUGAGUGAUGAAGGUCUUCGGAUCGUAAAACUCUGUUAGUAGGGAAGAACAGAAGUGUAAGUAACUGUGCACAUCUUGACGGUACCUAAUCAGAAAGCCACGGCUAACUACGUG
rnacentral:rRNA from 1 species